ensembl:lncRNA
CUCCUUGCAAAGAACCAAAUGUCACUCACGUUUGCACAAUGUAUCUUUCUGAUGCUAAAGUGUAUGGUAUACAUGCCAAACACAUGGUGUGCCCUUGAAAACGUGUACUGCUCUGCUCAGUUGUGUCCGACUCUUUGGGAUCCCAUGGACUGUAGCCCACCAGGAUCCUCUGUCCACGGAAUUUUCCAUGCAAGAAUACGGGAGUGGGUUAACAUUUCCUUCUCCAGAUCUCUUGGCAUCUCCUGCAUUGGCAGCUGGACUCUUAACCACUAGCGCCACCUGGGAAGCCCGACCCACACAGUGUGCCCUCUAAAAUAUGGACUAUAAGCAUUUCUGAGCUUGAGCCUUAAGAAAAGACAUUUGCUUCAUUGAAGUGCUUUGUCUUUUAUCAUAGUUCCCUCUUUUUCUCGACUGUUCUCAACAGAGCUAAAUGAACCAGGUCAACAAGGGCUGGGUUUUCUGCAAAUUUUCUUCUUUCCUGCCUUUUUUUUUUUUUGUCUUUGAAUGUGAACGUGAAGUUGCUCAGUCCUGUCCGACUCUUUGCAACCCCAUGGGCUGUAGCCUACCAGGUUCUUCUGUCCAUGGGAUUUUCCAGGCAAUAGUACUGGAGUGGAUUGCCAUUUCUUUCUCCAAGGGAUCUUCCCAACCCAGGGAUCGAACCCACGUCUCCCGCAUCGUAGACAGACACUUUACCGUCUGAGCCAAUGUUGCAGAUACUGUUCAUCCAUGUUUUAAUGGAAUACUGCCUCAAAGCUAUUUCUCAUUGUUUUUUAAACAUAUGCCAGCUGAGUUGGCCUUUUUUAACUGGACCAUUUUUAAAGUCUUUAUUGCAUUUGUUACAAUAUUACUUCUGAUUUGCUUUGGUUUUUAGGCCUGGAGGCACCAUGGGAUUAGCUCCCUGACCAGGAAUCAAACCUGCACUCUCUGUGUUGAAAGGUGGUCUAAACCCCUGACCGCCAGGUUAAGUCCCAGGGUUUUUGCUUUUUGUGUUGUAGGAUUCUACAAGUUUGGACAGAUGCAUAGUUAUGUAUCCACCAUUACAGUAUCAUGGAAGCUGUUUCCCUGCCUUAAAACCCCCUGUGCUUCAUCUUUUCAUCCCUUCCUUUUUCUACCUGAACGCAGAGCACCUACCUCUUGACUGUAGUUUUGCCUUUUCCAGAAUGUCAUAUAUUAGCAAGUCUUUUUGGACUGCUUCACUGAGCAAUAUGUAUUUAAGGUUCCUUCACGUCUUCUUGUGCCUUGAUGGCUCAUUUUUUUUUUAUUGCUAAAUACCAUUUCAUUAUACAGAUGUACCACCGUUUAUCGGUACAUAUGAAGGACAUCUUGGCUAAUUUUUGGCAAUUAUGGAUAAAGCUGCUAAAAGCAUUUGGGUGCAGGUUUUGGUGUGGACAUGGUCUUUAACUCAUUUGGACAAAUACCUAGGAAUGCAACUAAUUGCUUGUAAGACUAUGGUUAACUUUAAGGGACUGCCCAACUUCUUCCUUCUGUCCCAUGUUGCGUUCCCAUCACCAAUGAACUCAAAUUCCUGUUGCUCCACAUCCUCAAUAGCAUUUGGUGUUGUAUUUUGGAUUUUAGCUAUUCCUGUAGGUAUUAGUGUCAUCUCAUUUUAAUUUGCUAUUCUCCAAUGACAUAUUGACCAUCUUUUCGUUUUAUUUGCCAUCUGUGUAUUCUUUGAUGAGGUGUCUAGAUAUUCGGACCAUUUUUUAACUGGGUUUGUUUUCUUAUUUUUUAUUUAGGGUAAGCCUUUUGUCACUGUGUUUUGCUAAUAUUUUCUCCCAGUCUGUGGCUUGUCUUUCUGUUCUCUUGGCAAUGCCUUUUGCAGAGAAAUUUUUAACUUUGAAGUUCAACUUACCCAUUUUUUUCUUUCCAUGAAUCGUGGUUUUGGUGUUUCAUUAAACGUUAGAAACAGUCUACAUUAGAAACGGUGGGCAUACU